UCUGCCCACAGGCAAGGACGGGGCAGGACCCGCUCUUCUCCGGGGACAUGAAGCAGAUCAGUAUGGACUAAAACCAGACCUUCUCAACCACAUCGUGCUCUGGGAUUGCUAUGGCGUUGGGAAGAAGCAAGUGGUUAUGGAUGGUGAGACGAGCCUGCUGGACAUUCUGGACGCGUGGGCCAGGAGGCGUCUAGCUCCACGGGAGACCAGUACAUGCCCACUGGAGGAGACCUCCUGUGUGUGUUUACCAUCAACAACAUCAAGUCCUUCCAGGACAUCCAGUACAGGUCCUGGGUACGCCCGUGCCUGCAGCAUGACAACCGGUUCCCACCUUCUUCCUUGCAGGGAGCAGAUGGGACCGCAGGGAGUGACGGAUUCCGGGGGAGCCCGGGCUCCGGCGCCAGGACUCUCGGGGACGCCCUGGGGCCCCUGCGACCCAGCAGUCCCUAGUGCUGACGUGAGGACGCCUUCUAGAUGCUGGUGCGCGAGAGCCAGGGGCGCAGGUUGGGGAAACGGAGCUCACCCAAGGACGGUGGCCCAGGCUGCAUGAGCUGCAAGUCCCCACCCUCCUGACGUCCCUUUCAGGCCAUCCUGGCAUCCCCGAAGGCCCUCUUGUGCCCCCGAAGCACAGGCAAGGGCAGGGAGGUGCUGGAUGCCAGAAGUGGGGGGACAGAGGAAGGAGCAGGAGAAGGAAGAAGGACCCCGGCCGCCCCAGACGCCCUGGACAGAGUCACUGUAGACUGGCUGGACAGAGGGGCAGUAGACCUCCCAGGAUGCUGGCACAGAUGUGGUGACCUGAGGCCCCAGCACCCCAGCUGUCACUCUCCUCCUAGCCCCGUCCUGGCCCUGUGGCCACAGGCUGAGUCCCAGUCAGUUAUUGGAUGGUCUUGACCUUGGCGUCUGGCCAAGAUGGGAAGGCACUUGGGACCCUCAGCUUUGUGUCUGUCUGCCUGGAAGCCCCUCUCGGGGAUGCCUGCAGGGGCUGGUGAGGCAGCCUGGGCAGAGCCACCCUCUUCUCUCUGGGUGUCUGUCUGGUGCUUCUGGCACAGAGCUGUGGCGCUGCGGGAACAGGCCGGCUUCGCAUUCUCACACGACAACACUUUAUUGAACUCUCAACAGUCAGCGGAGUCUCAGAACCAAGGGAGGGAGCCUUCUCCUGGGGAUGGAGACCCGCCUUUCCUUCAGGAGAAUGUUGAAAUCCCAAGGGGGCACGGGAGCUAGUGUGCCCCACCUUGGAGGUGUGCUGACUCCAUGCAGUGACCCCUUAAAGCCAGGUGCUGAGGACAGUGGAUCCGAGUCAGAGGGAAGUGUUGGGGUUCCGGGACAGGGUCCUGGCAUGUCUGCAUGACCUCUUCCUCUGCCCCAUGGCUGCCAUGAGACUGCUGGUGACCCAGCCUCUGGUGGCACCUGUCUCCUACUGUGGGGGUCAGUGGGCGGGGCCCACCUGCUAGCCCCUGCUCUGCCCUAACCGGGGUGAGAUGUGGUCCCCAGUGCUGCCCUAGGUCGGAGAUGUGGAUCCAUGGGGCGUGCCCAGGUCCCAGCUAGCCACACAGAGCCCUGAGAGAACUUAAACAGAUUUGGGACAGACCCCAAGGCUGGCCAGGGCCAUGGGGCCUAUGUCCCAUCAGUAUUCCUUCUGGUCCUAGGGGGACUUGUGUCGUCUCUGACCCCCAGGACCUGGGACCACUCAGUGAGAUCGUUCUGGGUUAGGAACUUGUGCCUCCUAAGGUGGGUGCUGUCCUCUAGGAAGGCCAGUGUGACAAGGCAGGGCAUGGUGUUGGCUGCCCAGAGCCUCAGGGUCCGCACGCUCAGCAUCGUGCUCUACUCCAGAGGCCAGGAAGCAUCUAGUUUCCCUGUAUAGGUGGAAUCCAAGGGUCCUGGGAAGGUGUGGGCCUUGGGGUUGGUGGCUCAGCGCUGGCCCAGAUGUGUCUCAGCUGUGCCAGUCACUCCCCAGAGAGGGUCAUGAGCUGCAGAGGCCACAGGGCAGGAAGGGUGUCCUGGGCCCUACAGCUUCAUCUGUAGUGGGCUGGGGAGACCCUGUCCCAGGAUUCCCAGGGGCAUUCUGGGGCCUGGUCUGUGGUGUGACCGCUGGGGUGGCCCAGGCAGGGGCUGAGGGAAAAGGACCCAGUGUUUCGGCUUCAUGUCUGGGACUCCCCUUCCUGCAUUCUCCUGGUGCGCUGGGAGGCUGCGGGGGUGGGAAUUCCAUCACUGUGGGAGCAGGCGGGCCAGGCAGGGGUCCUGGGCUGAGGGCAGCUGGGCCAGAACCUGACGCCGGGCCUCCCGGCCACAGGUGGGCAGCCUCGGACUCCGUGGACUUUCCCACCUGCAGUGGCUCCUUGGCCUUGAGCAUGGCCUGGCCGGGGGUGGGAGGCUCCUGGCUGCUCAGGGUGUGCGCCGGGCCUGGGGGUGCCACCCCUUCACUCUGGGGAGCAUCUCAACGCCGCGAGAAGCGAAAAGAGGCCUGGGCAUUGGGGACGUUGCUCCAGACCCAGGGGCAUUGGGAACUCUUCAGGGCCCACUGCAAAGAGGCAGACUGGGUUAGCAUCUCCAGCAGGCGUCUGUCCCCAGCUGGCUGGGCCCGCAGGGUAUACUCAUGGCUCCCUGCGUGUCCACCCUGGCCUGCCCCGACAACCACCCUCCAGGCUGCUGAUGCCCAACCCCUGCAGGGAACUGGCAUAUGUCCCGCCCUGGCCUGGGGUCCCCGAGGUUGGAGCCAGGAGUAUAGAGGGACAGAGAUGACGAAGGCUCUGGGGCGUUGUCCACUGUGUGCUGCCCAGGAGGGAGAAUCCGGAGGGAUGGGAGCCCUGAGCCUACCUGGGGGUGGGGCAGGUCACACUUCAUCCUUCAGAGCGAAGCCAUGGAGGCCUGACGGUGUCCUGACACUUCAUCCUCCAGGGCCAGGGGCUGGGCUAACGUGUCCUGCAGGAAGUCCCGAAGACCUUUCAGAGGCAGCUUCAGGAGGGGUUCUGGGCAAUGUGUGUGAGUCCGAGCCAGCAGGGCCCCACCCUGCCACCCCAGUCUGCCUCCCAGGGGCAGCUGCUGAGGUCCAGCUGUGCCCAGGAGCGAGGCAGGCAGAGCCGGGGCAGGGGGAGGCCUCCUGCCCGCUGCUCCUCUGCAGGGAGUCCUGCCCAAGCCACCUCCCUGGCCUCCGUCCCUCCACCAAGGCUUGAAAGUUCCUCAGCACAGUGGCCCAACGCCCCUGACCCCACCCUCGUGCACGCCUGGGCUCCCGUGGGCUCACUUACUGCGGUGCACCUUGAGGAUGGUGUGUGCCAUGGUUGUGAGCUUGCACUCCCCAUCUAGCAUGUGGACAUCCCACAGCUUCAGGGUGAGAGAAAAGGGGUCUGGGAGAGCGGGACCAUGGGGGGUCCCCGCCACCCCCUGCCUCCAUCGGAGAAGGCCCCGCAACCCCUCCUGUGGGUGCCCUCCUCCCGGGGAAGAUGGGGUUCCGGACGGCUCCAGGGAAGGGCCUGGCCAGCAGGACAUGCGAACCUGGGAGGCCACAGACUCUGCCCCACCCUCGGGGGCCACCCGUCCCGAGAGGCUCGGGGCUGGCCGCAGAAUGGGCUGAGGGCCUGUCGCUCUGCAGGCUCCCCUGGCCUUCCUUGGGGAGCUACAAAGGACACAGCUGGUCCCCUGGCACCUCCUCAGGGGUCCUCUUGGGUUCUCCGGGGUUGUUCUGGGCCAUGAACCUCGGCCUUAGGGCUGCUGAUUCGGGGCCGGCUGGUCUGGGGGGUGAGGCUGAGCUCGGGCCUCCCUGGGGGCCAGGGCCAGGGAGCACGUGGGACUGGGUCUGCCUGGGGGCCUUGCCCAGCCGAUGAAGCACUGCAGAAGCCAUUUGGGGUGUAAAGCCUCAUCUCUUCCUUGUCCUGGUGGAAGGACAGGAGGUGCUCGGGACCCACCCACCGGCGGCAAACCUCCCUGGGCCCGGGCCCUAGAGUUAGGUGGACACGCUCCCCUGGGCCCAGCAGGAGAAGGAACAGGACACUAGGCUCUGGGCAGCAUGCGCAGGGUUCUCUGGGACCCCCCAUGCCUGCCCCGGGCUGUGGGGACGGAGCCUCUGGGGAGUUUCUACUCGCGAGGUGUUUCUUGAGGUGUUUUAGUUCUUUUGCCAUGAUGAGCUCGUGAUGGGCCUGGAAUUGUGCCAGUUUUGGAAACCCUGGAAUGAAGAAGCCUGAGAAGGCCUCAGGCGCCACCCCCACCCUACCCUACCCCCCACCAAUCAGGGCCUUGUCCCCCACCAGGUGGGGAGCGAGUCCUGGCAGGUGCCUCCUCUUCCAUGCCCUGUCUCCAGGGUGUGCCCACAGCCCUCCCGAACCCCGGCUGGUCCCGCUCUUCCCAGACAGCAAGACUGCUGUCCGGGCCUGGAUGGGGCGGGGGGUGGAGGGCAGCUGCUGGGGCACAGGACCCUCCUCCUCACAGAGACCCAGCUGGGUGGGUGAGGACCAGGCCUGUCUCACCCAACAACUCUUUACUGCAGGGGUUGCUGCAGGGGCAAGGGAGUUCCCAGCACCCAGGGUCAGGGCACGCGGCCCACAGGGAGGGUGAUGGGGGUGUGCAGGGCCAACUCCUGGGCUUGGGAUUCAGUCUGGGGACCCAUGCGAGUGGCAGAUGCUGCUACCUGACUUUGGCCGGCCGUGGGCUGGCGGGGGGGGGGUCUGGGGGGGCAAGCCGGCAGCCAGAUAGGAGGCUGAAGGACCCGUGGGAAUCUGAGAAUGGUCUGCCAAUGGUAGGGCCAGUGACCAUGGCUACAGAGCCCUGAAAGCUCCCUGGGGAGGCAAUGCCCUUUGCUAGUAGGGAGGCGGCCUGGUGCAGUUUCUGGCCUGCCCUGCUGCUGGAGCCGCCCUGCGGGGAGGGCGUCCUGAGCUCCCAGUCCUGUCCAGCCGCCCUGCCGACUCCCUACCCUGUACGGCUUGUCUCUCCAGUGAAACCCACGGAGUUAGCUCCCAAAAAGCCGCCUCCUCGGACAGGAACCUGAGCAGGACUCCCACUAUCUGACUCCUGUCCUUUCAGUCGCCUACCUCCUGCAAGAGGUGGCACGUUCCCAUGGAAUGAGACCACCUCAACGGGCUGGAGAUCAGGGUCUUGGGAACCGUUCUGCCCACCCCGUUCUGAUUCCUAGUUCGGUCUCUUUAGGACCCAGACCUGAGUUUUAAGGCAAUGGUGAUACCCACUAGAGCACCAGGCAGCUCCAGAGCUCAGGGACAGGGGCGCUGAGGUCUGCACCCUGUCCUGGCCUCAGUCCUACAGUCCAGAGCCCCAUCCUUGCGUCUCUGGGACAAUGGGAGCUGGAGUCCCAGCUCUGCAUUCUGGCCCCACCGUGAACGUCCCCUUGGUGGCCAUCCGCUCCCCGACCCCACACCGCUCCCCGCAGCCCCUGAGGUCCCUCUUCCCCGUGGUCUGGCUUGUCCCAGAUCCCGCGGAUGCCACUAGACACCAUCUGGCUUCCUUCCCUGAGCCCAAGGCAGCCAAGGUGUGUGCACAGAGUCAAGCCCGUCCGUGGUGCAGUCCAUGGGGCGCUGGUGCCUCGCGCUGUUCCCCCCCCCCCCCAUGGGAUGCGUGCCCAGCCCCGUGCGCGCGUCUUCUUUGCUCAAGUGUCUGCUCAGAGCUGUGUCUGCUGUGCGGGGCUCCGGGCGCUCGGUCCCUGAGCUGCGUGUCCUCCAUGUGCAAGGGCCCUGUCUUCGGUGCAGGAAUGGAAAUAUGUAACCCCCACGCGCCCCGCCCCUUAGCUUUCCUCCGUGCUCUGAACGGUGGCUCUGCAGAGCGCGCGCUUCUGACUGAAAUAAACUCCGGUUUACCCAGGAGUCCUCUCUCGCCUGUCUU